AUGAUUUCCAAAAAGGGAGUGACAUUUGGGGCAGCUCUUGUCAUGCGCCCUCCCCAGCUUAGCAGAUCCGCCCAGGACAGCCGCGCCGCGCGUCAGGGACCCUCGCGGCGGCGGCCAAGGCCCUUGCUGACGCGCGGCCGGUCUUUUCUGGGCAGCGGGGGGCUCGCCACACCCCGCCCCCGGCCGGAGCCAGACCUUUACUUUAUUUGGUUCACUACGCGAAACGCCACCGUGAGCCACAAUCAAAAAAAAAAAAAAAAAAAAGUAAAAAAAAGAAAAAGCUACCAUUUGACGAUUCUGAUCUGGCCCCGAUGUUUUCCAACGGCCUCUGGGUUUGUAAGAAGAUACGGAGGUCCCGAAGCCCCUUUCCUGCGUGACGGUUGCAGGCUGCGCGUAAAGAGUUUCUCGCGUGCAAGCCCUGAGGACUCCGGACCGUGUUCCCGUGCUGGAGUCCUACCGAGCUUCCAGCACACAUAGUCUCUCUCUCAGGCUUUGGAGAACACGAGAGGCCCCAAACCAAGACUGUGCAACAAAAUGCUGAUUGAUCCAGACCCAGACCAUCCCUACUCCUACAAUUCACUUUUCUGCAGAACUCUUACUGGUGUGGCUAGUACUUCAAAAUCAUACAAUGAAAGAAG
rnacentral:lncRNA from 1 species